AAAAAGCUCGUAGUUGGAUCUGGGUCGUAUGGCUACGUGCUGAUGCCUGUAUUCUCGACUUGGUCACGACUGGGUCAAGUUUGCGGUUCGGCGUCGUGGCUGUGCAGCCUUUCUGCCGUGUCUGUUUCGACAGGUGUCAAUUUAAUCGAUGGGCUUGCUCGUCGGUUGGUUGGCAUGCUUCCGGAUGCCUUUAAACGGGUGUCGGGGGCGGACGGUACGUUUACUUUGAACAAAUUUGAGUGCUCAAAGCAGGCUUGUGCCUGAAAAUUCUUGCAUGGAAUAAUGGAAUAGGACUU
rnacentral:rRNA from 1 species